rnacentral:lncRNA from 1 species
UUCCCCAAAACCUGGUGGAACAGAGUCAUAAGCUUUACAAGAAAGUACUAAUAAUAUGAUACUAUUUUGGGACAAGAAAUAAACAGUAGAAAGUCUAAAAAAUAGAAGAUGACUCCAAGGCCUGCGGGCACCGGGCAGGUAUACCUUGAAUUCUCCGGAAGACAGCUAACAAGUCAAUCAUUAACGUCCAACACCGGCAGAUGGACCUGGAUCUGUACAAAAGAUGUGUAGAAGCGUAGUAUGAGUACACCAUAACGGUACCCAGUAAGUAUCAAUCCUAACCUAGGUAGAGUAGUGACGAGGAUAAGUCAAGACACCUACUAGGACAUAAUAAAUAGAACAAAAAUAUAAUAACGAGAAGUAAUGAAAACGGAGAAAUGAAUGAUAACAAAGCAAUCUGGUAACGUAAACUAAUGACAGAAUUGUAAGCAGAAAGACAACAAGAAGGGCACAAUUAAUGAGAACCUCAAAUAAUCAAAUGCGGACAAACUAUUAUGACAAGGAAACAUAAAAACAACAAGAACGCUUCAACCAAUAACUCUUUUCGAUGUGAAGUGCAAAACAAGAAUCACAUCCGAGGUACUGUCUCGUGUUCAUGUUUCACAAUUUUAAUCACUAUCUUUCCUUAUAUCAUUGCGGGAGCCUCACAUUUAGUUUUGAAAAUCAUUAUUCCCGAAAUAGCUACCCGCAUUUUAGCCCACCUAAUCACACUGCGUGGCUUCAAGUAGUUCCCCUACUAGCAACACGCGUAUCAAGCCCACCUUAUCUCAGUGCAUGCGUAUCAACCCCUAGCCUUAUACCACCGCAUGCGUAUCAAUAUCACAACUCGCACCACAAGUGCCCAUAUGCCACAAACUUGCCAAAAGAAUCAACAAUAUCAAUGUUUUCACAAGAAAUAGCCCAUGGCUCAACCACAAUGUGCACAAGAAUCUCAAUAAUAACAAAAUGAAAGUGAAUUUCUCAACAAGAAAGAUAUCUCAACAAUUAACAACCUCACCUUAAUAUGAUAACGACUUUCUCAACUUUAACACCAAUAAAUCAACAAUAAGAUAUUUCACGAAAUAACAACUUCAAUUACAAUUAAUUCAAUAAAUUUAAAUGAAACAAGGCAAUAACUUCAACUAAGCAUAUGAGAGAAAAAUGACAAGUAAGAGGUAGAACAAGUGUUAACAAUGUCAUAUAAAGCAUGUAAGGGUAGAUUAAUACAUGUAAGAGUUAAUUAACAAUGAGGGAUGUAACAUGUUAUGGCAAUUCAAUUAAAGGCAUGAAAAGAGUCUAAAUAACCUAAACCGGUCAAAUACCACAUAUAAUCCGUGUACGCACUCAUCACCUUGCAUACACGGCUUUCACAUAACAUAAAUAUAAUAAUAAAUCCCAAAUCCUAAGGGGUAGUUCCCCCACACAAAGUUAGGUAAGAUACUUACCUCAACUAGGCCAACUCAACCCUCGAAAAUAGCUUUUCCCCUAAAAUUCGCUUCCACAUGGCUCAAAUCCAACCAAAAUUGACUUAAUAUCAUCAACCAAUGCAAGGGAAACAAUUAAAAUAGAUAAAGCUAUGAUCUUUACACUUUUUUCAAAAAGUCAACAAAAGUCAACCCUAGGCUCGUACGAUCAAAACCUGGGUCCAAUGGUAGAUUCCGAUCACCCAUAACCCACGAGUCCAUAUAUGUGAUUAGUUUCAAUAUCCGAGUCCAAAUAGACUCUCAAAUUCUCAUUUUUCAAAAACUUGGCAAACUUUCCCAAUUUUUUCUCUUUGAUUCACAUAAAUUUGAUGUUAAAUAUAAGACAUAUUCAUGAAAUAUAUUUGGAAAUUGAUUAGAAUCACUUACCCAAUAUUUGUAGAUUAACCCCCCCCCCCCUCUCCAGAUCGCCUCCUACCGAGUCUAGGGUUCUAAAAUAUGAGAAAUGAGACUAAAUCCUGACUUUCCAGCCCUUAUGUUCAGCUGCAGAUGUCACAUUUGCGACAAUGUGAACCCUCACAAUUGUUGACCAGGGAUCACAUAUGCUAACCCUGAUAGCCUCAACAAACAUCACAAUUGCGACAAAGGCUUCGCAAUUGCGAAGCUGGAUAGCUUUGCAAAAGCGACCAAGUGGUCCAGAAUGCGACUCAUGCCCCAGGCCUACUAACUUCACAAAUGCGAAGGGGUAAGUCACAAUUGCGACAUCAAACCACCCCCGAUCACCUUCGCAAUUGCGACAACAAAGCACUAGCACACCAGCACACCAACAAUUCUUUUUUCCAUUCAAACCAUUCUGAAUCACGUCCGAAACUCAUCCAAGCCCUCGGGGCUCCAAACUAAACAUCCACACAAGUCUAAUAACAUCAUACGAACUCGCUCGCAUGAUCAAAAUACAAGAUCACAUCUAGUAAACUUCAAGAACAUCUAGAAUUGCAACCAAGCGUCUGAAUCCUACCAAAUCAACUCCAAUUGAUACCAAAUUUUGCAGACAAGUUCUAAAUAGCAUAACAGACCUAUUCCACGUCCAAAAAUCCAAUUCUAAACCUGAUAGCCAAAAGUCAACCUACAUUCAAACUUCUAAACCCGAGGGCCACUGAUUAGCAUCGCCAGAUAACUCAUCAAUAAUUGUAACUAUCUCCUUUGGAGUCUUCUUCAUCAAUGGGCCUCCAGAUGCAUUGCUCAAUGUUCUACAUGAGGCCGAUGUCAAUCCAUCUCAAAAGUCCUGUAGUUGCAUCCAAAGUUCAAUUCCAUUAUGUUGACACUUUCUAACUAUCUCCUUAAACCUCUACCAUGCUUUGAUAAUAGUCUCGGUCUCUUUCUGGCAGAAGUUAUGGAUUUCUCUUCUAAACUUGCCCAUUUUAGCUCAGGAGAAAUAUUUAUCAAGAAAUUUUCUGGUCAUCUCCUCCCAUGUUCUAAUUGACACCGUGGGUAAGCUUCGAAGCCACUGCUUUGCAUCAUCUUUGAGUGUGAAGGGGAAUGCCCUUAAGUAUACUGCGUCUUGUGACACACCAUUGUAUUGAAAGGUGUUCAUAAUCUCCUUGAAGUCUAUUAGAUAUGUAUUUGGAUCUUUUUUCAUCUUCCCUUUGAAAACAUAGCAAUUCUGAAGGGUUUGAAGCAACCCUUGCUUCAAUUCGAAAUUGUUAGCUGCACUUGGAGGUGCUCUCACACUUGAUAAGCCUUGAUUGUAGAUCGGUCUAGAAUGAUGCCCAGUGAUCUCCCAGGCAUGGGAGCUAUAUUUCCGAACUGGUCUGCAGCCAAGGGUUGAUUUUGAGCAAUUCUCUCACCCCUCUCUCCUUCAUAGAUAAUUUAUGCUUCUCUGAUAGCUGCUUCCUCAGCAUCCCGUGCAGCUUUUUCUCAUUGUUAGGCUGCCUCUCUUGCAGCCAAAUCUACAUUAUCAUCACCGUUUCCCGUCAUAAUUUCCUUGGUUGAGGAUUGCCCAACCCUUUCUAAUGUCUCGGUGAGAUUUAUUGCCUUCCUCAGCUAUAACGAUUAUUUUUCUAUCUCUGGCUUGUAUGGUAUCACUUCUUUCGCAUAAGCUCGAGUCAUGCACCAACCUUAACCUAUAACCUGCGCACAACCAAAGAACACUAAAUGUAAAAAGAGAAAAUAGAAAUAAAAAGAAAAAAAGUCGUGAAUUUGCACUACAAUCUAUUUCAAACAAUAUUGAUUGCCAAUCCCCGGCAACGGUGCCAAAAUUUGACGAGUGCAAAACACACCCUUAAAUUCUUCUCGCUAAUCAAAUAUAGUAUAGUAUAAUAUUGUAUCUACAGGGAUUGGAUUUAAAUAGUAUUCUCGUAGUUUCUAGCUUGGUUGCUAUCCAAGAUGAUCAAAAAUUGAGAUUUAUAAGAUGUCUAACUAAAAUUAACUAAGAAUCUAAACCUAUUGACUAAUGACAAUCGAAACAAGGAAUAAGCAAAUAAAGUUAUCAAUGGGAGAAGAUAGGGUUUUGAUAGAAUAGAUGCAAGAUAAUUGUUUGGGAUCUAACUCUAGAUAAUUCAUUUCUAAUGUUCAAGUGACUCUCUCGAAUUCACUCAAUUAGUAGAUCAAACGUUAGGAAAAACUCCUCUCUCGAUUAAGUCUUAACCUCAAAAGAUGAACCAAUUUAAGCACGCGAAGAUAUGCAAGAAUACGUAAUGGAUUGGUCUUUAGGAGAACCUCUUUCGAUUAUUCGCCUAACUAGGUUUAAUAAAUGAUUCAACUAGCCUCUUUCAAUUACUUAGAAGAAUCUAUGAACUCAACCAAUAAUAUAAUGCAAAGAUAUCACAAAUUAUGCCUCUCUCGAUUACAUGAAUAAGUGAUUAUAGAUGCAAUAAUUAAUUCAUCCAAAAAAUGAUUCAAUACAUAAACUAGAGUUAUAAUCCACAAACAAUCAUCAAUAUACCAAAUCCAUCAAACCCUAAAAAGAACUACUCCAUAGAUAUGGAGGAAUUCAUCACAGAUAAAAUUAAAUUAUAGAAAACAUAAAUUCAAUCCAUACACGGGUCUUGAGUGAGGAAGGAAUGAUGAAAUCCUUAUGCUUGUGUUCUUCCAACUCCGACUUAGCCUUCUCAGGUCCAAAGUAUGUCGAAAGUCCCAAACAUAACAUUUUUUCCAUGUAUUUAUACUAAGUAGGGUUGGGCCCAAAUGAAACCACCUUCUCCUAGCCGAAAUAGGAUAUUGGCUCUGUAAAAAAUACACAGGUGUGUCGCAUGGGGCGACGCGCCAUGCGGGGCAUUAGUGGGGAAAUCUAGAGAGCUCAACAAUUGACAGGCAGUAGGAAAUAGGCAGUUGCAGCGCCCCACAUGCCACGACAGUGGGGUUUUCUCAGAGUACGACUUAAACUUCGAUUUUUGAUGUCUAGACUUGGUUCUCGACCCCCGAACACAAUCCCAGCUUAAUCCCUUGGGCUUUUACUCUGACUUCAAAGCUCCAAAUUGCUCGAAUUCAUUCUAUAAUAUCUACAUAGCUCGGGAUCACUCCUAUAAGGAAUAGAAAACACAGUUUGUGCAAAACACUAUUAAUUAAAGCUCAAACACAAGUAAAGUGCAGUGAAUUAGAGUGCAAUAAACAACUAAACACGAGAUUAUAGUCUACCAUCAACAUCCGCAUGGUACCAUCCUUCUUCUUCACAAACAGAACCGGUGCACCCUAAGGCGACACACUAGGCCUAAUGAACCCCUUAUCAAGAAGCUCUUGAAGUUUCUCUUUCAAUUCUUUCAACUUUGCUGGUGCCAUACGAUACAGAGGAAUAGAAAUUGGCUGAGUGCCCCGUACCAAGUCAAUGCCAAAAUCAAUGUCCCUUUUGCGUGGCAUGCCCGGAAGGUCUGUAGGUAACACAUCCGGAAAGUCCCGCACUACCGGAAUAGAAUGAAUGGUAUGAGUAUCAGUACAAACAUCCCUCACAAAGACCAAAUAUGACAAACACCCCUUCCCAACCAUCCAUUGGGCCUUCAGAUAUGAAAUCACCCUACUGGAAACAUAGUCCAGAGAACCUCUCCACUCGAUCCUAGGUAACUCAGGUAUCGCCAACGUCACGGUCUUAGCGUGACAAUCCAGAAUAGCAUGACAUAGGGACAACCAAUCCAUGUCCAGAAUCACAUCAAAAUCAACCAUACUAAGCAAUAAGAGAUCAACUCUAGUAUCCAAUCCCUCAACGGUAACCACACAUGACCGAUACACUCGGUCCAAAAUAAUAGAAUCGCCCGCCGACGUAGAUACAUGAACAUGCGAAACUAAGGACUCACGGGGCAUAUCCAAAUAUUAGCAAAAUACAAUGAUCAUAUGAAUAAGUGGCACCAGGGUCAAAUAAUAUCGAAGCAUCCCUGUAGCAUACUGAGACAAUAUCUAUGAUCAUUGCGUCUGAAGCAAUAGUCUCUGGCCUAGUAGGGAAAGCAUAGCAUCGAGCCUGACCGCCACCAGACCAGCCUUCCCCUUUAGGGCAACCAGUAGCUGCCUGAGCCCCACCUCGAGCUAGCUGAGCGAGUGGUGAAGUAACUAGUGCGAAAGUCAUAACCUGACCCCUCUGCUGAACUGGACCUCCAAAAUGAUAGGGACACUAACUCCACACAUGUCCAAACUCCCUGCACUCGAAGUAGCUCUGAUCCGCCAAUGGUGGUGGAGACUGAAUCGAACCAUGAGAACCAGUAUAGCUACUAGAAGAAUCCGGUACAGAUGACCCUUGAACUGAUGGAGCACGGGAUGAACUCAGAGCUGGGAGGGAACUAAGAGAUGACUGACCCGGACGAGCACUCUAUGAACCAUGGCUAGCCGAUGCACCACGAUGAACCGGACGAGCCAUUUGAGCGGGCCUAUAAGGAUGACCCCUAUUGUGGUGGAACUUCCCUCCAGAAGAAACACCGCUGAAACCACCCGAACCACGAGGCCUCUUGGCCUCCCUCUCCUCAUGCUCCUGACUAUGGACCUACUUUAGUCGCCUAACAAUAUCAACUACCUCAUCAAACCUAACACCUGAUGCAAUCUCUCGAGUCAUGAUGAAGCGCAGUCGAUAGUUGAGGCCAUCAAUGAACCUCCUAAUCCUCUCCCUCUCUAUGGGAACCAACUCGAUCGUGUGAUGAGCCAACUAUGAAAAUCUCAUCUCAUACUAGGUCACGGAUAUACCCUCUUGGCGUAGCUUCUUAAACUGCCUAUGUAACUCCUAUAUGCGGGUCUGUGGAACAAACUUCUUUAAGAAGAGAACUAAGAAAUCAUGCCACGUAAGUGGUGUAGUGCUGGCUGUCCUGCUCAACUCAUAGGCCUCCCACCAUCUGAAGGCUACCCCCGAUAGCUGAAAAGUAGUAACUGAGACUCCACUAGUCUCCAGAAUACCCGCUGUGUGAAGGAUCCACUGGCACCUGUCUAAGAAAUCUUGAGCAUCCUCUGACUCAGCCCCACUGAAUGUUGGAAGCCUGAGCCUCCCAAACUGCUCUAGCCUCUUUUGCUCCCCGUCACUCAUAGGUGGACCCACCUGGGCCUGAGAAACUAUAACCGGCUGGGCUGGUAGUACCCCUGAUGUCUGAAGUCCCUAAACCACCUGCUCUAGAGUACGGGCGAAGGGAGUAUGAGCACCUCCCCCGGCCUGAGAAGUGGCUAGUACAGCCUAAACUGAAACCGCCUGAGCAAGGCUAAUGCAUAAAGUCAAUAUCUGGGCCAAAGUUUCCCGAUGGCCUGGAAUCACAAUGGGCACAGCUGGUACUUGAGCAUGUCUCACCGGCUCAACUACAGAUGGUAUCUACUCCUAAGCUGGAGCAACUGGUGGCUCCACAGGUGCUGCUCUAGCUGCUGUAUGAGCGGCACCUCAGCCUCUACCAUGACCCCAGUCUCUCGUGGCCCUAGCUGAUGGUAUUGGUGGCCAUUUGCCUGAUCCGGUAGCGCGUUUCCGCACCAUAUGUGAGAGAAUAGAGUAAUAGAAGUUUAGUUUCCGAAAUCAACAAAUCCGCAAGGCAAGAAUACACGAGUGAAGUUUCCUAAUGAUUCGGUAGCCUCUCGAAGAUAAUUACAGACGUUCCUAUACCGAUCCGCAAGACUCUACUAAACCUGCUCAUGACUCAUGAGACCUAUGUAACCUAGGCUCUGUUACCAACUUUUCAUGACCCAAAUCUCAACAUGUCGUGAUGACGCCUAUCACAGUACUAGGCAGGCCAAGAAUCACAAAAUAACUACUCAUUUUGAAUUAAAAUCAUGAUGUAAUAAGUUUAAUUGUAAAAAUCUCAUAAAUAACCGAUAGGAACAACCGCGACUCAACUACAAAAUCCCCAAAAUAUGGGUAUCACCGAGUACAUGAGCUAUUAAAUGUCAACAUAGUCAAAAACUUCUAAUAUAAUUGUCUGGAAAGAUAGAACAGUGCUAAAUAAACUGAAAAGAAGGAGAGUUGAGGUCUACGGAUCCCAUAGCAGCUACCUCACUAGUCUCCAAGCAGGUAAUGCUCCAAGUCUUGCAACCACCGGGUCCAGAUGCACCUGUAUCUGCACACAGAGUGUAAUAUGAGUACAACCGACCCAGUGUACUCAAUAAGUAAUAGGACUAACCUUGGGCUGAAAGCAGUGACGAGCUAAAAAAGGUACAAUCCAAAUACAGAUAACAAAAAUACAGAUAUAACAUGAAAAUGACAGUAAUGACUCAGAGAAAUUUCAUAAUCAGUUUAUACAUAGUACAAAAAUAUAGACAUGCUUUCAAGUUCAACAGUUUAGGCUCAAUACUGAUAAAAUAUGCCAAGUAUAACUAGCAAAAGGAAUGUUACAUCUCUAUGUCUACAUGUCAAAUAUGCAUGUCAACUGUAAUGCAACAUAGUGAUAAAUUCAUAUACUCAUACUCUCGGAGUAUUCAACCUCACUCAGCACGCUCAAUCACUCAGUACUCCCAAUCACUCAACACUCUCAAUCACUCAGCACUCGCACUCGGCACUCGAACGGUACCUGUGCUCACUGCUGGUAUGUCAGAAUCAGGAGGGACGAAUCCUGCCAAAGCGCUAAUAUAAGCCAACAUGGCAUGCUACGGCGUGUAACCCAAUCCCAUCAUGAAUCAAUAAAGUCUGCUACGGCGUGCAGUCCGAUCCCAUAAAUAUCACUCACACUCAGGCCCUCGGCCUCAACUCAGGCAUCAAUCUCUCCACUCUCUCGAGCUCACAAAUCUCGUGCAAAUCAGCCCAAAUAAUGAUACAUGAUGUAACAAUAAAUGAAAACAGAAACUGAGAUAUGAUAUUCAAAUGUUGAAUGUGUCUGCGUACAUAAUUACAAUUUAAACAAAUAACUCAAAAUCAUAAAAGACCUCGAUGGGUCCCAACAGUAUCAGCAUAUAGCCCAAACACGAUUUCUAGCAUGGAUCACAGCUCAAUUUCUCUAACACAUGGAGGUUUCAUGAAUAACAACAAGAUUUGAUAAUUACACAGUACCACAAAAUCAACCGAAUCACAAUUACCAAGGUGCCCGCACGCCCAUCACCUAGCAUGUGCAUCACCUCAACACCAAUCACAUAACACGUAGUUCACAAAUUCAUACCCUCAGUACAAAGUUUAGAAGUAUUACUUACCUCAAACCGUGCAAAUAAUAACUCCAACAAGCCAUUGCCUCGUGAUUCAGCCCCCGAACGACUCGAAUCUGGCCACAAACAACUUAAUAUAAUCAAUGCAAGCUAUAGGAUUUGAUUCCAUACGAUAAAGCUAAGUUCUUUAACCAAAGUCAACAAGUCAACCCAAAAAGUCAACCACAAUCCCAUGUCUCGGAAUCCAACUAAAUUUAUAAAAUCCGAACACUCAUUUAAUAAUGAGUCCAACCAUACUAAAAUCAUCCAAUUCUGACCUCAAAUCGCCUUUCAAAUCCUCAAAAUAUAGUUUAUGAUGUUUCAACAAUUUUUCCCAAUUUUUCCAACCCAAAAUGCUAAUUAAAUGGUAAAAACAAUGAUAGAUUCAUGUAUAUUAACCAAAUCCGAGUUAGAAUCACUUACCCUAAUCAAUUCCUUGAAAAUCCCUUCAAGAACCGCCUCAAUCCGAGCUCCCGAAGUCUAAAUGUGAAAUAAUACUCUAACCCUCAUUUUUAAAAUUAAAUAUCUGCUGCCCAGACGUCCUUCUUCGUGAACGCGGAAAGUGCCUCGCGUUCGCGAAGCAAAAAAUCCUCAACUGCCCAAAAUCCUCUUAUGUGAAUGCGAGACCUCCCUCACGAUCACGAUGACCAAUGAUCCCUUGACUAUGCGAACGCGAACCAACUCCCGCAAACACGACAAGCCUGGUGCCCAACCUGCCUCAUCCUUCUACGCGAACGCGAGUCCUCUCUCGCGAUCAAGAUGCACAAACCCCUUAUACCUUCGCGAACGUGAAGCACAAACUUCCCUAGUCAACCAGAUACAAUUCACGAAUGCGAACAAGGAAACCAAACACCAGAAAUUCUACAUCUCAAAAAGGCCAAACUCAAUCCGCAAUCAAUCCGAAACUCACCCGAGACCCCUGGGACCCCAUCCAAAAAUAACAACAAGUCCUAAAACACGAUACGAACUUAAUCGAGGCCUUAAAUCACAUCAAAUAACAUCAAAAAUAUGAAUCGCACACCAAUUCAAGCCUAAUGGAACUAAUGGAUUUCCAAUGUCUACACUCGAUGCAGAAACCUAUCAAACCAACUCCGAUUGACCUCAAAUUUUGCACACAAGUCAUAAAUUAUACAACGGACCUAUUCUAAUUUUUGGAACCAAAAUUCGAGCUCAGUAACCACAAAGUCAACUCUCGGUCAAACUUCUCAACUCUCCAAACUUCAACUUUUCCAACUUUCGCCAUUUCAAGCCAAAAUCACCAACGGACCUCCAAAUCAAUAUCCAGACACACUCCUAAGUCCAAAAUCACCAUACAGGGCUAUCAGAACCAUCAAAACUCCAUUCUGGAGUCAUUUACACGUAAGUCAAUAUCCGGUCUAACUCUUCCAACUUAGACUUCCACCCUUGGGACUAAGUAUCCCAAUUCAUUCCGAAACAUCUCCGAAACCAAUCCAACCACCCCGGCAAGUCAUAUAAUAACAAACGAAUAUAAAAUAAGCGAUAAAUGGGAAAAUUAGGCUAAAAUACUCAAAAUAAGCGGCGAGCUCAUUACAUCAACAGAUUUUUAACAAAGAUUAGAAUAACAAAAAUUUCAUCACGAAAACUAUGACAGUAGCAAAAUGAGCGGGAAGGACUUCCCCUGAAAACUAUAUAGGUUGCCAGAAAAUUAUAGGCACAAGAUUUAUUGUCAAAAAAAUGAUAGUAAACAUUCAGGAAUCCGACAAUAAUGAUCGACAACAGUGGACUAUUGGCGUUACUUUGAUGAGGAAUUCCGGAACAACACCUAACCUCAAAAAUACGUCGCUGGCAUUUAUUUUUUUCCGGCCAAAGCUCGAAGGCAGCAAGGAGCGAGAUAUGGUCGCUAGUGAAGGUCAUUUUUUCCAACCAGAUCUAUAUAUUUUUAGUUAGAUCUGAGUGAACCAUAACAGUCACCGGAAAAGCUAUAAGCAAAUGGAGAUGAAGAUGGUCAGUGAUGUAGAGGGAGGUCACCGGCCCGGGGGUCAAAUCCGACGGUGGAGUUACAACAUCGUGGGGAAGGGGGGCUGGGCGUGUUUUCUCAAAGUUGAGAGAAAUCAGAUGGAAGAUAAAAGGGGGAGGCCUCUGAAAAUGGAGCUAAUGAGGGGAAUGGACAGCCUCAGGCAAAAAUGAGGGAGAGAGAUUAUUUGUUUUGGUGGUAAACAAAUCUGAUGUGUUCCUUAAAAUAUAUGAGUGUGUAAAAAAAUCGCAUAUGGUGAAUGUGUAGAAAAG